CCAGACUCCUACGGGAGGCAGCAGUGGGGAAUAUUGGUCAAUGGGCGCGAGCCUGAAUCAGCCAAGUCGCGUGAGGGAAGACGGUCCUAUGGAUUGUAAACCUCUUUUGUCGGGGAGCAAAAGACGCCACGCGUGGCGUUCCGAGAGUACCCGAAGAAAAAGCAUCGGCUAACUCCGUGCCAGCAGCCGCGGUAAUACGGAGGAUGCGAGCGUUAUCCGGAUUUAUUGGGUUUAAAGGGUGCGCAGGCGGAAGAUCAAGUCAGCGGUAAAAUUGAGAGGCUCAACCUCUUCGAGCCGUUGAAACUGGUUUUCUUGAGUGAGUGAGAAGUAUGCGGAAUGCGUGGUGUGGCGGUGAAAUGCAUAGAUAUCACGCAGAACUCCGAUUGCGAAGGCGGCAUACCGGCGCUCAACUGACGCUGAAGCACGAAGGCGUGGGUAUCGAACAGGAUUAGAUACCCUAGUA
rnacentral:rRNA from 1 species